GGGAGCCUUCCGAGAGGAAGAACGAACCCACAGGAUGGGGGUCAGCGCUUGCGUUAGGACCGUGCUGUUUGUCGGUCCCCUCCACCCCCCCACUGCUCCGCGAGCAAUGGUUGCGCCGAGCCCGAGCUCCAGCCCCAGCUUCGCGCCGGCGGGUGCGUCUGAGGAACUUAUAGCCAACGAGUUGCCUCACGAAGGGCCGCGCCCACCUCUGGGCUUGGGGCUGGGCACCUUCUCCGACUCCUUUCCCGGCCCGGUGCGGCCGUGCAGCGUCCGCAAACAGCCCAGGGCGAAGUCCGCCUUCGGGCAGCUCGAUACCAAAAGCCCAGGAAACGGGCGCAAGCCACGAGAGUCUCUAAACGCGGCGUAGCACGCGAACGCGACCCGUCUUUGCGCUCUAAGGAGGGCAGGGCCGAAGAAAGAGUAAGCUAUUAGUCUCCAUUGCUGCUGGCAUUCAUGCUGUAAACUUGAAGGGAGCUGCCUAAGGAUGAAUAGGUACUGUGGACAGCACAGAGGAGAGAAGGAAAGAAACUGGGUCAUUAUGACAUUAAGCUGAUAGAUGACCAAACACAGAGCCUGUCCAACAACUGGACUCUUAAUUAUGUCUCCAAUUUGUGAUGGGCUUUGGAAGAAGUGUGAGUUCUAGAAAAAGGACUGGGUCAAGGACCUAGGGUAAGACACCUUGGCUUUUAUCUCAGAAUGUCUCAGAGAUAAGCUUUCUUUCUAUUCUUCAGGCUCUAAAAUAAAGUUUUAGGGAUCUUGUUGUUGUUGUUCGAUUAAAGAUACAAGAAGCACAACCAAACCAACCAUAAUCCUAUACUUCAUUUUAUCAGGAUCAUGUAGGAAAAGACCAAAUCUAAUCCUGGAUGUUAAUAUUGCUUCUGUACCUAAAAUACAAAGAUCUGAAGGAGUGGUAUCUGUGAGUUGUAGGAUAUGCAUAUAUUCAGCCAAAGCGAUUAACCCUAUUUACUACCACAAACAGUGGAUUAGAGUUCCUAGUGUUUCAUAUAUUUGCCAACUCUGGUAUUGACUGACUUUUAAAUUUUUACUAGUCUGGUGGCUGCAAAUGCUGUCUCACUGUAGUUUUAUUUUGCAGUGUUGGGGUGGGCUCUCAUGAGCCAGUGACAUCACAGUGUGAUUGUGUUCAGUGACAUCAUGUUGGUCGUUUGAUUCAUCAUAUGAUAUUUACCCCAUGGAAAUCAGCAAACAUUACAAAUCAGGGCUUUCCCCUUUGGAGAGCCAAGUGUUAAAGAUUACCUACCUAUAUACCAUUGUUGAUAAGGUUAAAUAUUUUCUCAUGUAUUUAUGGGCUUUAUCUUGAGUGGCUUGGGCUGUUAUUACAAACUACCAUAGACUUGGUGGCUUAUAAACAACAGAAAUUUGUUUCUUGCAGUUCUAGAGGCUGAAAAGUGCAAGAUCAAGGUGCUGGCACAUUUGCUAUCUGGUCUGGGCCUGCUACCUGGUUCAUAGACCACCGUCUUUUCUCUAUAACCUCACCUACGAAUACCAUCACAUUGGCAAUUAGGUUUCAACAUAUGAAUUUUGGGGGAACAUAAACAUUCAAUCCAUGUCAUAUCUGUUUGUGUCUUUUGCCUAUUUAAAAAUUUUUUGGCUAUCUUUUUUUUUUGAUUCAUUCACAAUUGUUUUUCAUAUCUUAUAAAUACUUUACUCAUUAUUAUCUUCAGUAUAUUUGCUUCACAUUUCUUAUUAUACCUCUGACCUUCCUUCUGGGAUCAUUUUUGUUCUACCUAGACUUCUCUUAAUGGCCAUCUAAUGAUGAUAAAUGCUCUCAAUUUUUAUGUUGACAGUGUCUUUAUUCUGCUUUAGUGCUUUUCUCUUAUUCUUGAAAGAUAGUUUCAUAGAUUAUAGUAUUCUAGGUUGACAAUUUUUUUCUCUCAGCUCAUGGAAAAUACUCCUCUGCUGUUUUCUGGCUUCAUAUCUGCUAGUGAGAAGCUAGCCAUCAGCUGAAUUGCUGAAGUUUUGGAGUGAUCACUCUUUUCUUUCCAGCUGCUUUUAAGAUGAAACUUUUUUCUCUGUAAUUCUGUAUUUUCACCGUAAUGUGUUUAGGUGUGUAUCUUUAUUUAUCAUGUUUGGGAUUCACUGGUAUGCCAAGAUCUGAUGUCUGAAAAGUUCUCAGUUGUUAUGUCUAUUAUCUCUUUCUCAUUCUUUUUAUUACCUCCUUUUUGUACCUGAAGUAGGCAUAUAUUAGACAUUCUCAUCAUGUUCUGUGUCUCUCGAUCUUUAUUUCAUUGUAUAUUCUAUCUCCUUGUCUCUGUGAGCCGUAUUUGGGAUCAAUUACUCAGUUAUAUUCUGGCUCAUUAUUUUUUUCUUUGCUUUUGUUUAAUCUGAUGUUUAAUCCAUCCACUGAAUUUUUAAUUAUGUUUUUAAUUUUUUUAAGUUCUUAUUUUUAUUAAGUUCUUGUUUCAAAUCUUCUUAGUCUUUUUAUAAACUUUUUUAAUGAGGGUUUUUUUAAAAUUAAUUUAUUUUUUGGCUGUGUUGGGUCUUUGUUGCUGCACACAGGCUUUCUCUAGU